rnacentral:misc_RNA from 1 species
GGGAGAGUUGUUGGUUGGAUAUGGAAAACCCCUUCUCUUUGAAAGAAAAGGAGAUCAGUUAUUGAACUUCCCCAAGAGCACAGAUGAAUGGUAUGGCUCCAUUAGAUGAUGGUACAAGGAAUUUGAUUUCAGAGGACCUUUUCAACAAUUCUUCUGAGUUCAUGAAUUUUGAUACACAUGGUGGUUGGUUCAACAGUCCGUCAGCAACAGACCAGAUGUUUG